UUAGGCUUUACUGUAAAAAAAAAAAAAUCCUUUUCCAUUUACCUCUCUAUAUGCUAUAAAGCUCAUUUUUCUCUUUAACCACAUAUCUUAUUUGUAAUGAAGUAAAUUAUCAGGCCUUUAAUGUUGGCAUUAUGAGGUGUGUGUGUGUGACAGUAAGAUUUUUCUAAAGACAUCAACCAGAUGUCUUUAAAGAAGAAAAAAACACAAUUUCUCAAUUUCUUGCAAAACAUGAAGAAAGGUAUUUGAAGCUACUGACAAAACACAGCAUAUUCUGAAGCUGCUUAAAUGAUCAGCAGAAUAGUUUCUACUGAAAUUGGCUUCUGUCAGAAAUAUGCUUUCAGCCUUCAUCCACUAAGCUAAGAAUUAUUGCUGCUUAGACUGUCAGUUUUGAAGAUCUCAUUUCUCUGAAACUUGAAGCGUGUCUCUGAAUAGUAAGGAAUGGUCUCAUAGUGGGUUGGUGUUUAUAUACUACUUAAUAUUAUUUUUCAGUUUCCUGUUUUUGACACACUUGUGAGUUCACUGUGAAGAUGGGGAUUCUCUGUUAAAUUCUAGAAAGAAGUACUUAAAAUUAAAUGGAAAAAAAACCCCACAGUUAUUUAUAGUUUUCUGUUAUAUCCCUGCAGUGAAAUGUGAGCACAGUAGACAAUGACAUCCCCGACAAGCAAAGGUUUUUUUCCAGCUAGGAUAAACUUUUUUGAAUGAUGCUAUCCACAGCUUCAAUAUUAUUUCAGUUUAUCACAAACCACGGUAUUGUUUUUAAUUUUAUUACCAAAUCAUGAUGUAAAUUUGUUGUAGUAAGAAUCUAAGGCUGGAACUGAGCCUACAGACCCUUUUUCAAGUGAGAAAGUUAUGAGAUCCUGAACUGUAAUUCUGCAGAUCUGGUAGGAAAAUGGAUGCACUUCAACCACAACGCCUCUGGCAGGCUAAAAUUUAGUUUUGUAGUUCAUUAUACAGUUAAAAAAGGGGGGGGGGGGAGGGACACCUUGAAUAGACUAGAAAAAACCAUGAGUACCUGAUUUUACAUCUUCUGUACUGAAUUUCAGUGUAUUUUCCUCUUUUUACAAAAGGAGAUAAAAAACAUUGGCUAAUGCUCUGAAGACAAUCGGUGUAUAACUGAUAUACACUUAUCUGCAGAAAAUUUUUCUGGUGCUUAUUUAUCUAAACAAUCUCUCCUCACAGAAAUUUAUUUUUAUUCAGUAUUUCAUGCAAAGAAAGGACACUGGUUCUUCAGGAUGGGUAAGAGAAAUUGAACAAAUGCCGUUAUGUUUGUUAAGAAUAAAAACCCUGUUUUAUGUUGGCCUGGUUUCCUGAGCUUAAUGUUGUGCCUUCAGACAAUAGUCGGAAGGAGACUCACAGAGGGUUGGAGUUUUCAGUGUGUUGGUCUUUCUGAUUUGAACUCUGUUUUGUCAACGUUUUCGUGGUCCUGAAAAACAGAGGGAGGUAUAAAUUAUAGUUUAUUACUUUGUCCACGCCAUUUGCCACUUUAAUUUUGUAACGUUUACAGAUGCUGCAGAGAGGGUAUAUCUGCAAGAUAUUUAAUGGCAUUGCAUCAUCUCAUCAAAACAAUUAGAUGAUGUAUGACCACCUCUGUAACUUUUUGCUAUUAUUACUUAAGCACAGGACUUGACCAAGAGAAUUACUGAUUUUCUUUGUGUGAAUUAGGAACAAAACUAAAGAUGAACAUAUUCUGUUCUGAUUUUUCACUUGCUGCUUUGGUUAAUCAUAGAGGCGGUGACUCUGGCACACAAUCAAAUCUCAGGCAACGGCUGCUAGACCAGUGACACAUUUGACAUUUAGCAGAGGAAGAAGUCUGAAAAGUUAGCUAUCUGAACUGCUGCCCUGGGAACUUUCCAACAGUUUGACUCAUCUGUCUUUUCCAUCAGGCAUUUGUGUGACUCUUGUUCCUAUGUACCUCAGAGAAGUGCAAAGGAACAUAGAUUCUAACAAGAUGCAAAAAGAUGCUCAGCCAAGAAGAGAUCUAAUUAAAAACUCACUGUGAAUAUGUCAGCAGUUUCUUGAAUUGCUCCCAAUCUUUCUUGUUGUGGAUGCAAAAUAAGAUUUAUAAACGAAGGUAAUGAAACAUACUGUUCAACAGUAUACAUUUCUUGGACCCUCAUUGGAGUAAACAUAAAAAUAAAUCUCAAAUGCACCUAUUUUCCACCUGAAUAUGCAGAUAUGUUGAAAAAUACUGCUAUUGUGAGUAAUGCUGUUAGCCAUGUGACAAUUAAACUGAAUAAGGAUACAGCUAAUUUCACUAAACCUCCCAGCUUUCAUAAAAGCAUUGCUUCUGGGCAUGUGAAUUGAGAUGUGUGCUUAAGAUAACUCUGUAUUUGCUACCUGAAGGUUGGGAAUAGUAUUUAUUGUAGAUGCCUUUGAUUAUACGAUGAUGUAUAUCUGUACAAAUACCGGUUGUUACUUAGCAGUCAAUAAUGCAGACCAGGUUCCGCUCAAAAGGGGUUUUUGAUGAGAGCUUGGCAGAACUUUUAUAAGGUGUUUUGUUCCAGGCAAAUGGAGUUGCAGAGCCUUAGAAAUUUGCAUUAGGCUUUUUAGAGUCGAGAAUUUACUCUAAAAUCCUUAGAGCACCAAACAAACCCCUAAGACAGUACCUUGAAAAUGUUUUCAAUUUUCAUGUUUUUAUCUUUGCUUUGAACCUAUGACAUCAUGUUAUUCUUUUCCCUCAUUCAUCAUGGUGAUUUUAUGCAAGCCAAGGAGUGCUUAGAUAAACUGAAUAAUCUGGGGUCACCAUACUAGAAAAAAAAGAAGUAAAUAUUGCAAAAAAAAAAACCAAACCUUUGCAGAUCAACUGAUGAAGCUAGAAAGUAAAACAGAAAUGUUUUCAAGUAAGUUUUUUUCUUUUUUUCCCCCUGUUCACAAAUGGCUUGUUCUUGAAGAUUAUUUAUUCUCACAUAAGUGAUACUUUCCUGUUGCAUGCAGCAUGUGCUUGGUGCUGUACCUAUGGAUAACAUGGAGCUAUUUAUCCAAUGCCUGCUUCAUUCACGUUUUAAGAAAAUAGUACAAGAUACUGAUUUUUAAUAACUAGAUAUAUGGUUGGUUUUAAAUGCAAUACUAUAAGGUACUAGCCCUUAAUAUCGCUGUUAUCAGUAAGAUACUAACUUAUGAGUUUUCAGACAUUUAUCUUUCAAAUACAGGUGAUAGUUCAUACAAAGGUGGACCUUGUUCCUCCAGCAGGAGGAAAUCUUAAUGCCUUCAGUUCACCAGUUCUAAAUGUCAGGAUUUAAUUUCAGUACUCAGUAUAUUUGAAGUAAAUUCUUGACAUGUACCUCAACGACCUUUGUGUGCCAAUAACUGAGACAUUAAAAAGUGGUGAUUGCCACUACAUCUGAAAAACUUGUUUUUUUCAACAUCUGACUGACUGUUCAUGGUAUAACAUACAUCUAAGAAUCCUGCAGUUUUGGAUAAAGAAAAUGGAUGAGAGAAGUAGGAGGAGGAAAAGGAGGUCCUGGAAGUUGGCACUAUAAAAAUAUGCCUCAGAACAUUGAAGAAUAUACAUAUUCCUCUCUCUGUGAAUCUUCCUUUGACAAAAUAGGCUGAAUACUGGAUGAGGUGAGCAAAUUGAAAAGCUGUAACUUUUUCAGUGAGCGCUGAUUAAAUCUGCUUACUGCUAAAGCACCAUAUACUCAGCUUCCAAUUUGCUUUUUAUACUGAAGAGCCAGCCCAUCUGGCACGCUCAAAGCUACAUCUGGAGAAACUUUUAUUCAAAGAAAUUCCAUACAGCUAUGCUAGAAACCACCCCUGCAGCUGCUGUUAUAAUGCAGAACGAACAUUUAAAAUAGACUACAAAAAAAGCCUAUGCUGAGUGACUAUUGGUUUCAUUUUUUGAAUUCUGAAUCAGGCAACAUUUGUGGCUUGCAAUCAGUUCUAAUAGUUUCGUCUUAUUGUUAGAUGUUGCUAUGAGAAACACCAGAUCAGUUACUUCAAAGGAAUAAUUUGAACAAUCCUUGCUAAAAAAUCUUUCUCUAAAAAAUUCUCAAACUCAACAAAUUUGUUCCAAUUAGACCAAUCACAGCACACUACUGUGUAGAAUAGCAGAAUUUUCCUGCAGAAAGAAAAGAUCAGCUGCUGAGCAAUGUGUGAAAAAAAAAUAUGGUAAUCUGUGUUCUAUUAUUAUUAUUAUUUUUACUGAAGCAAGCCAUGAUGUCUGUUAGGCUGCUAUAGACAUUCUUGAAAUAAAGUCAAUAACUGUACUUUCAUAAAAUCAAAAAAGCUACUUCCAUUCUUUUUUCAAGGAAAUGUUUGUAACAAGUGAUUGUUACUUCAGAUGCUCAAUUUAUCAAAGUAUGUGUGGUAGGGUGGCUAGCAGGCUAAUUUCUUUCUUCCUUUUAAAGAAGAAAAAUUAAAAAAAAUAAAUAAAAUACAGAUUAUUAUAGUAAUUCCUUAAGGGGAUAUGUGACAGUCUAAUUCUACUUUUACUUUGAUAACCAACUCUACAUCUUACCUUGCUCCAUGGUUCAGAUAAGAGUGAACAGCAUAAAAAUGGGUUAAACUGGUGUUUUGAAGUCUUAUUUGGAGAAGUGCUGUUUAUUUUCUGUGACACCAAAUAUGGUUUUGAUGACUUCUAGUUGAAAAUAGAUUAAACCUCAUUUGAGGCAUGGGAAUACAUUUUUACUGUACAUUUUUACCAGGAGGAAAAAGAAAAACAAGUAAAACUUGUUUUGCUAGCAUUCCUGUGUGAUUCUAACUCUGUCAUAACUAAAGUUAAACACAGUGUUCUGUAACAAAUGCAUUAGUUUUCCUUUUUUUCUGGAAACUUAAAAAGAACAUGCUCUUUAUUCAAAUCACCCCACUGAGUUGCUAAAUUAAAGUAGAAUUACUUCACCAGUUGCUGGCAGGCCAUUCAAUAUAAUGAUGGUUUACUGACCUCUCAUCCUGACACAAAUACUUUCCAGCUUUAGUGAGGAAAAAACAAAACCAGACAAGCCAAGAAAAAAAAAAAAAGAACAGGCAAUAUGAUAUGAUUUUCAAAGUCUGCCUAAUAGUUGGGCCUUGAUUCUACAUCAUUAAAGAGAAAGCUGAAUAUUAAUUUAAUUCAAGAGAUAAUAGAACCCUUAGCAGUGCAAACUGGUGGCCCCCUUUUAGGAUUUUUUUCAAAAGAGAAAGACUUAUUAUUUUUUGAAAGCAAGCAGCAAAAAUUCUCUUUCUGUGCCUUGAAGCAGAGCAAAUAUUCUAUGACAUCAUAAAUAAAACACUUCCUGCCAGCAAAAGCAGAGGAGAGGAAUCUCCGAUUAUUGGUGCCCAUGAAACACCUGCCAAAUUCCUAAGAGUGUAGGAGGGCUCAGGCAGUUGCACAAAACAGCCUUAUCCGAAUCCUUCUGAAAACAGUGCAGGUCCUGCCAUUGCCUUCCAUGAGCUUUAGUUUAGUACUGUAAUCAUUAUCCUUAGAUGUAAUCCAAACAUGUUUGCCAGAGUUUUUGUCUGUAAAGUUUUUCUGUUCAUUUUGUUAAUAUUUGCAACCUCCAGCACGUAAAAUGUAACAAAGAUCUCUGUUAAUAAUGGUAAAAGAAAGAACUUAUGGCUAACAAAGCAAAUAUAAUUUUAUGAAAAUUUUCCACAAUGGAAAUGCCCCUUCUAGCACAUCAAAAAUCUGCACAAUGUAUUCAAGACCCUUCUCUUGUUCAUGGCAAUAGCUCAGUGUAUCUGAGGUAACCCAUUGCCUUCAACUUGCAUCAGCAUGAGAUUGCUCAUAGCACCAAAACAUGAGCGAACCAGUAACGAAGCAACACAAAUAUAGUGUUUACAUAUCACGUAGGAAAGAAUAAUAAUCACAGAAUCAUAAUUGUACUUGAUUUCAGUAUCAAUUAUGCAAUUCACCUAAUUUGGUCAAAGGAAGACCAAAUUAUUGCAUAUGUUCCUCUUUAUCUUUUCUGUCUGUAUCACUAUUCAUGGCUAACUGGGUGGAAAAUUACAGUAUUUUUAUGGAAAGGCUAUAGAAAAAAAAUACAUAGAUACUCACUGAUACUGGUCUACUGUGCUGAUGUGCAAAGGUGGUCAAGCUGUUGUAAUGAUCUCUGUCUUUUUUGUUUUGAGGCUGUAAGAAACAAUCAGGAAUGAUUCUCAGUUUUGAAGACUUAUUCUCCUUAUUAUAUACCUUCAUCUUCCAUGAAAAAAUUCUGAAAGUAUUUUCCAGGCAUUCAAACAAAAACUAAAUGCAGUCUAUUGAAUUAUAUAAAACUGAUUCCAUUAAUUAUUAUCUAAGAUAUCACAGGAUUUAAUUAUAAUGCUGAGAUUUUUUUAAAUGCAGCUUUUCAACAAAUUUUGGUAAAAAAAAAAUCCAUUCCUAAUCAUUUGUUUUUAAAUUUUAUUUUGAAUUCUUUGAUUUGGAUCUGGACUGGAACUGAAUUUUAAAUUCAUACCUGAACUGUCAAUUCAAAUGCUGCUUUAAGCCAGCUUUACUAGGGGUCUGACUGAGACAUACUGUAGCUCUCUACAAUAGUGAAGGAUAAAGCAGUCUAUUAUCCUUCAGUAUAAAUAGUUUAAAUUACUUAUUUCAUUAAGAAAAAGGGAAGUCUACAGGUUUAGCUUAUAACAAUAAAUCUAUAGAUAGAUAACACUAGGAACAACUUUAGAAUUACUUAUUUAAGAAUUUCUGAAUUUUGAACAUUUUCAUUAUCCAAGAUGGUAAUGCAGAUUUAAGGUAGGAGAUUGAUAGUGAGUGAUCUUGUACACCUUGAAGGAUGUAUAUAUAACUUCUGCAUUUCAUUUGCUGAUUUACAAACAACACUGAAUUAUUAAUGUGUGUACCUCUGACUUCACAUUUUCCUAGCUGAAAACAGAGCAAAGAAACAUUCAACUUGGUCCCGUUCAGAAGUAAAUAAAGUGUUUCUGCCUUCUGUGUUCCUAUUACUAAGAAGCAUUAAAUUUUCUUCUUGACUCAUGAGAGUUACCUAAUAUAUAUAUUCUUGUUUAGAGCAUUAGCUCACUUUCUAAACCCUUGGCAUUUGGGCCAGUCUAUAACUGGUACCUCAGUGGCAGCUAUUUUAAUCUUUCCUAUGAUCACUUGUUCACUACCUGGUUAAUUUAAGGAGCUCUUUCUCUCAUUUUACUCAUGUGAUGCAAGUGGAAGAAGUAUUGCUCCAGGAACUCCUUACCAUUAUCUUAAUUCUGUGAAUGGCAACUCAGCUCAGUGAAGAGAAGCAUAGCUGUGUUCCAAUGCACUCUGUGAUAUUAGUUUGUACAUACAAAUACAUAUAUAAAAAGUCCCUUCCUAAUUUGUUGUACUCAAGCACAUGCUAUUUUAGGCAGACCUAUUUUCAAACCAGGCCUGAGGGAGUUAGUUGUCUAAAUUAAAUUCAGUUUGACUGAUUUGGACAUUGAACAUCUCUGAAAUAAAAUCUUAGUGAUGGACACUGCUAUUCAGCAGUGCAAAUGUUGUUUUGUUUUUAAUAAGAUGAUCAUAUAAUAGAACUGCUAAUACAAAUACAGAAAUUGAAGACUAAGUAAUAAUUUAGGAAAUUAACGUGGAAUAUUUAUACACUGAAAGUGAAAUAGCUCUAAUGUUGUUUUGAGCUUCUUUGAUUUGAAGAUGAUAUAAGCACUUCCAAUAAAAAUAUUAUAGUCUUGUUGAUCUCAAUAUAUACAUAUUUUAUUGAGUGACAAACAAGUUUUUCAUCAAAGAUGGUUCUCUCAUGAAAGAGAGUUUAUAUUUUUAAUGCUUGAAUUUUGAUGGUAGAGAUUAUAUGUUGAAAACCAAUAGCAUUGAACAUGAUCCAUGUUAGACUUCUGGUCAUUGCUCAGACUGGUAUUAUACAGCAAUGUUUCUGGACAGAAGUGUGAAAAGUAGGCUGCGAGCAAGAAUUGGGGGGUCUAUUCCCAAAUUCUCACUUAUUUAUUAUAAACAGUUGAGCAAAAUGACAUGAGCAUUUUGAAUCCAAGUUGAGUCAUCUCUCAAAUGAGUUUAAAAAAAAAAAGCCAACAGGAUAAUGAAGCACAGUAGUGCUUAUGAACUCUUUUGGGAUUGUCAUGUUAAAGGUGCCAUAAAAUUGUACUAUUACAUUUUAUAUAAUAAGUUAUAGGGUAAGUACUAAUGUGCUUUACAUAGCAUUAGGGAUGACAUAUAUAAACAUAAACUAUAAAAUCAGAAAGUUUACAGCAAAUAGAACUGAUUCCAAAAUAACUGAACUGUUGAAUAUCAGUACUAUUAUCAUCACUGAACUGACAAUUGCAGCCUGAGGAAGAUGGCAGAGUUAAAUAAAUGUCUCUCUGCCUGCUGCCUGCUAUGUUAUGCAGAGUCUGUUUUCAAAUGCUCUUUAAAGAACACAGUCUGGAAGGGGCUCAAGCAUUGAAAAGCAAAGAGGGAAACAAUUCCAAACAAGGCUGCCUGUGUGCCGCUCUGUUUCUGGUAUCUCCCUUUGAAGGUUUACACUGAAGUACUCUUUGUCUCACAGGCUACUUCAGAUGAAUAUCAUUUAUGGAAAGAGCUAUAAACAAAAGGCAAAUGUCUUGAAUGCUUUUCAGCGUUGAGGAGAAGUGUUAUUACGAAAGACUGACACUGCCCACCCUGGCAAGGCCAGCCCAGCUCUGGUUAUCAUUAUAUUUCAGACCAGAAUAUUAGAAAAUAACUACAAGAUUGUCAUCUUUAUACAAAUCUGUUGUGCAUCCAAAAAAUCAAUACUGAAAAAAAGUCAAAAUCUCUGUAAUACCACUCUUUCAACAGUCUAAAUCCAUCCAGAUCAGUUACCCAAAACAGCAUGUAAAACUUGGAAUUGAGAGAAAAUGUACAUUUGAAAGGGUUAGGGAAGAUAACCACUUGUGAUCUGUAUGUCCUUGAUGUAUUAGAAUGUGUACUACAAAUAGUCAAAGUGAUAACAUGAGAACCUUGAAAAGUGACCUCAAAAUUGGCAUCUAUGCCCUUCACGCAUGCAAGCCAAACAGUCACACAUGUAUAAGUGCUAGAACAUCCUUUGAAAUGAAUUGAAAUAUAAGGUGGGUGAAAUUGCCAGCAUGUUCUACCUAGAUGUGCACUGUUAAUUUUCUCUUACUUCAAGAGAAUUAAAACUGCAUAAGCCCUGGAAGUUCUGGGAGCUGGUUUACCUGUGUGAUCCUUUCUCAUCAGCAAUGUUAAUUGUGAAAAUCAGGACCCUCCUUUUAAUGUCAUCUGCAACUGUCUUUUGGAAAAGACAAUAAAAGUCUUUAAGAAAGUUGCCACCUCUGGGAAUGGUUGCUCACAGGACUUCUGUGCUCUAGAGCAGAGUCCCAUCUAUUUUUUAAUUUUUUUACACUCUUUCUUCAAUCGACCUAACAAUAAAAGGACAGUCUGACUGAAGAAUCUUUUCUGGCUGCAGUAAGAGCAGUAGCUUUUCUUAUCCUUUUAAGGAAGUACUCUCUGUGUUCUUUAAGAUUUGUAAAUAGCUCUAGGAAAUUAAAGCACUUAAAAUUCUCAAGUGGAUAACUCAAAUGAUCAGUUGCAGUUAGCUGGGAAAAGAGCUGCCUGUAAAUCUGUAGCUAACAUUUAUAUGGCAUUGCAGUCAUUAAGUAUUGCUGACCUUAUCAGUGGCACUGGUGAAUUUGACUUCAAAUUAUGUGUCAUUUUGAAAUGUUUAUCACUGUCCUUUCACUGGAGAUUCAGUGCAGCUGUAGAGUCCCGGCAGUGUUACCAUUCUAAUCCAGGCUUUGUCCGUAUUGAUGUAUUAGCCUGAAGCCCAAACUCUGAUGAGCACAGAGGCUAUAUAAGGAUUGCUGCUGCUCUUCCAGCGAGGGCUAGACACAGAGGAGGACUUGUACCCAGGUCCUGAACAUAGGAGUUGUGUUCAUGCCAACAGUUAGGGCUAUACAGAGCAGUCAAUACGAGCCCUCUUCUGACUACAGUGCAGACAGAGCCAAUGGCUGAUUGCCUCAUUGCUGCAGCUUUGCUCAAAUGGAACAGAAACCAAAGGAGGAAGCUGCUAACUGAUGAUGAAGGGGGCAACCCCAGUUGUAAAAGCAACAAAACAAACAGCAAAUCAUGCAAGCCUGCUAUUGCCUAUCACAUGAUGGGUUGGGAAAGUCAAAUACUGCUGGUAAGGGGUUUUAUUUUCCUUCUAUUUGUUUUCCUUUUAUAAAUUUGCCAUCCACAAAACUUACAUGGCCUUCCUGUCUCUGGUCAUUUGAAAUAGCCUUUUAAAAUAUGCAUGAAACUACUAGCAGCACUUUCAUAAUCCAAUGAAAUACUGAGCAGAAAUCAUUCUGUAGAAGUAUUCUCUUCUCCCCAGACACUGCAUGUAAUGGAUCUGCUUGAACUGGAUCACCAAUGUGCGCAGGAAAAUUAAAGAAUACGGGCUUGCCUUUACUUCUCUGUCACCCUGUCUGCAACAGGGUCCUCUAUGUCCAGUACCUUUUGUGUUUUUUGAGCUCUGACAUCAGGUGUAGAACAGAUUCAAACACUUUAGAGCAGCAACUGAGGUCAGAACACUGAGUCUUGUCUAAGCACUUAUGCUGUGUUGCUUUUACGUACUAAAGUUAGCUCUAUUCUCUUUUCUCUUAUAUUUCAAUUUGCUGUUGUGCAUUGAUACUUGACUUUGUCUUUCUGCAAGGAAAAAUAUUUUCAGCAGUUAUUUCAUGUCCUUUCAGUACAGUCCUUCUCCUAAGGAGCAGAAGGAAAAUGUUUGGAGAUUUUUCAAACACAAAGGAUUCGCCAUGCACCCUGUAUUGCUUUGAAAAAUCACGUGUGUGAUAAAAAGGUCAGGGAGGGAACACCUGCAGGUGGAAGAAAGAAAUAUUUGCAUCACUGACAGAGCUUUCUCUGCAACUGGAGUGGCCAAAUCUUUGGGAGCUGAACCCCUCUUCGGGAAAACAAAACUUAUCCUGUCAUCAACCCAUACAAAUGUGAUGUAUGCUGUUUGGCAUACUUAACUACAUAAAUCUUUCAUGGAAGUGUCCCUCUUCACUUCAUAAUAUCACAGCAGCCUAUCAAUUUCCUAUCUUCCCAUACUUGUUGAAGGGUGUAUUACAACUAUGCAGACUGAUUUUUAAAAACUUAAGGUAGAGGCCAAACAGUGCUGCAUUUAUCCACUUGUCUUCCAAAUCCAAACUGAACUAUUUUUCGCUGCGCUGGUGACCUCAAACAAGAAUAAGGAAAGUAUUUCAAAUUAAAAAAAAAUUGUAUUAGUAUGGAUAGAAUAGACAUAGGAAAAAACAUCAAUAUCUAAAUCAGAGCAGGUUUCACAUAAGCUACACAAAUUUUUUGCACUUCCAUUAACAUUUGUGAUCCAUUAAUAUUACCAGUGUUAUCUGAGCUGCUAUCUUCAGUGAGUGAAAUAGCUACAAUUACUGCCUUAGUCAUUGCAGCACCCCAACAGACUGAUCUUUUACAAGAACGAUGGCAGUAGUAGUCAUUCAGGACAAAAUUAUAACACCGAGGAAAACAUUAGCUUCAUUCUAUCUAAUUUCCAGUCUGCAUUUCAUUCAUUGAGACUAUUUUCUUCUUCAUUUUUCUGGCUCUUCCACCCUUGAUUGUAUUUUCCUGUAAACUGCUAAAUAUCAGUCAUUUUUAAUUCCAGAGCAAAAUCAGGGAAGUUUGUGAGUGGCAUUUAUCAUAAGGAUAUCAUAAGGAUAGGAUACAGACACACAAUGCCCACUUUUGAAGAAUAUUAAACAACAUUAAACACACAAAAAGUUCUGCUCUACAAUUUCUCUGCCGAUAUUGGAUGUUCAGUGUUGUUCAAAAUUUAAAUGUUAAUGAGAUACUUCUUUUUUUUCCCCCCAACAGGGCUGAAGUAAUGACUGAAGUUAUAGCAGUUUCAAAGUUCGGUGGUAUCUGAUCAGUCUAAACAAUGAUAUGAAAAUGACCAAUGCAGAUUCUGAGAAGCAUAUGUCUUCUAGAUCCUCAGCGUUUCACUGAGGAGACAAUGAGUCACCAAUUCAAGGCAGAGUAAAAUGCAACAGAACCAAAAGCCCAUCUAUGAAAAUUCAUUUUCAGUUUCACAGCAGGACUGUAGCAUUGGUACAUUGACAGGCAUGUAUUCUUCAGCAGCCAAAUUCUGUGAGUGCUUUGUAUGUAGUUGUCUAGCUGGCUUCCCUUUUAUAAAGAAACAAAUAUAUGCUGUGCUUCUUUUGUAAACUCUAUUGGUUUGGCUGGCUGCAAUUUGUAUCUCUAUGUAUCUGUGGAUUAUUGUUAGACAAGUGCAACCACUCACUAACGGAUAACUAUUCUAAGCAUACCAAUGUGUAUUUAAGAAACUUGAACUCAUUGAGUAUGACUUCUAAAAGCACUAGGUCAUUAAAAGGGUUUAAUAGAUCUAAUUACUUCACUGUCACAGAAUUAUGGGCUAUUAAUUCCUAGAAGAGAGCUAAGGGCACAUGACUCUCUUCCCUAUGCCAUUGGUAAAAACGAAAAAUAGUUUCAGUGUGAAGGUUUAGUCACAGUCAGUUGAAGUUACUCUGUGUCUUCAUAUCUGAUUCUGAGUGGAGACAAACCAGCUCUUUUUGUCACACGGAACAUUCUAAGCUGUUAUGGACACGGUUCAGAAGUUCCCUCGGAGCAGAGCCAGAUAAUGCCAUAUUCUCCAAAACACUCUUAUGCCAAGAGUUAUCACAGUUACAUUUAUCAAAGUAACUUUAUCAAAGUUACAUUGAAA
ensembl:lncRNA